rnacentral:rRNA from 1 species
UACAGAGGGUGCGAGCGUUAAUCGGAAUUACUGGGCGUAAAGCGUGCGUAGACGGUUAUUUAAGUCGGAUGUGAAAGCCCCGGGCUCAACCUGGGAAUUGCAUUCGAGACUGAAUAGCUAGGGUACGGUAGAGGGAAGUGGAAUUUCCGGUGUAGCGGUGAAAUGCGUAGAUAUCGGGAGGAACACCUGAGGCGAAGGCGGGCUACUGGGCCGAUACUGACGCUGAGGCGCGAAAGCCAGGGGAGCAA